rnacentral:lncRNA from 1 species
UGUGCCCUCUUAUUCUUCACAUAAAAAAUAUUUUUAUAUAAUUUUUCUCAUAUCUAGAAGCUUUUUUUAUAUCUCAUCUAUUUUUUUUAAAUUAAAAAUUGAUUGAUUUAAAUUUGAGUUCAAAUGGAUUUGAAUUUGAAUGAAAACCUAGAGUCCAAAUUGAGUUGGACUCUCCUCUUCACGCCACCACCUUUUUUCAUGCAU